rnacentral:rRNA from 1 species
GACGAACGCUGGCGGCGUGCUUAACACAUGCAAGUCGAACGGAAAGGCCCUGCUUUUGUGGGGUGCUCGGGUGGCGAACGGGUGAGUAACACGUGAGUAACCUGCCCUUGACUUUGGGAUAACUUCAGGAAACUGGGGCUAAUACCGGAUAGGAGCUCCUGCUGCAUGGUGGGGGUUGGAAAGUUUCGGCGGUUGGGGAUGGACUCGCGGCUUAUCAGCUUGUUGGUGGGGUAGUGGCUUACCAAGGCUUUGACGGGUAGCCGGCCUGAGAGGGUGACCGGCCACAUUGGGACUGAGAUACGGCCCAGACUCCUACGGGAGGCAGCAGUGGGGAAUAUUGCACAAUGGGCGGAAGCCUGAUGCAGCAACGCCGCGUGCGGGAUGACGGCCUUCGGGUCGUAAACCGCUUUCGCCUGUGACGAAGCGUGAGUGACGGUAAUGGGUAAAGAAGCACCGGCUAACUACGUG